rnacentral:rRNA from 1 species
GAUGAACGCUGGCGGCGUGCCUAAUACAUGCAAGUCGAGCGAAUGGAUUAAGAGCUUGCUCUUAUGAAGUUAGCGGCGGACGGGUGAGUAACACGUGGGUAACCUGCCCAUAAGACUGGGAUAACUCCGGGAAACCGGGGCUAAUACCUGAUAACAUUUUGAACCGCAUGGUUCGAAAUUGAAAGGCGGCUUCGGCUGUCACUUAUGGAUGGACCCGCGUCGCAUUAGCUAGUUGGUUAGGUAACGGCUCACCAAGGCAACGAUGCGUAGCCGACCUGAGAGGGUGAUCGGCCACACGGGGACUGAGACACGGCCCAGACUCCUACGGGGGGCAGCAGUAGGGAAUCUUCCGCAAUGGACGACAGUCUGACGGAGCAACGCCGCGUGAGUGAUGAAGGCUUUCGGGUCGUAAAACUCUGUUGUUAGGGAAGAACAAGUGCUAGUUGAAUAAGCUGGCACCUUGACGGUACCUAACCAGAAAGCCACGGCUAACUACGUGCCAGCAGCCGCGGUAA